rnacentral:rRNA from 1 species
GACGAACGCUGGCGGCGUGCUUAACACAUGCAAGUCGAACGGAAAGGCCCCCAUCUUGGUGGGGGUGCUCGAGUGGCGAACGGGUGAGUAACACGUGGGUGAUCUGCCCUGUACUUCGGGAUAAGCUUGGGAAACUGGGUCUAAUACCGGAUAGGACCAUGGUUUAGUGUCUCAUGGUGGAAAGAUUAUUGUUUUGGUGCAGGAUGAGCUCGCGGCCUAUCAGCUUGUUGGUGGGGUAAUGGCCUACCAAGGCGUCGACGGGUAGCCGGCCUGAGAGGGUGGACGGGCACAUUGGGACUGAGAUACGGCCCAGACUCCUACGGGAGGCAGCAGUGGGGAAUAUUGCACAAUGGGCGCAAGCCUGAUGCAGCGACGCCGCGUGGGGGAUGACGGCCUUCGGGUUGUAAACUCCUUUCGUUAGGGACGAAGCCACGCUUUUGGGGUGUGGUGACGGUACCUUUGUUAAGAAGCACCGGCUAACUACGUG